rnacentral:lncRNA from 1 species
CUCUUCUUCAGAGAUUUCCUUUCAGUAAGCAACUUUUCCAUCCUCUUAAUGUAUUCCUUUUUAGUAGGAAUCCAGAAGUAUUAGAUUGAAUGGAAAAGCAUUCUACAUUUUAGGGCUGGGGGAUCACAGAUUUAAAUGCCUCCUGUAUCAUAUGUGAUGGAGGUCUUGUGUAUCUGUGACAACAGGGAGUUUCCUUCUUCACUCUUCAUUUGCUGCUGUUUAAGUUGACAACUUCCCUUCCCAAUAAAAACUCACUUACACCUCCUGCCUUUGUAGUUCUGGUAUUCACUUUACUAUGUAAUAGAAGUAGCAUGUUGCUGCCAGAAUACAACCAUUGCUUUUGGCAAAUUAAAGUGCAUGUCAUUUCUUAAUACACUAGAAAGGGGGAAAAAAAGCACACAGUCCAGUCUAAAACAUUAGUACUUUUCCAUGCAGAUUUGUGCACAUGUGAGAGGGUGUCCAGUUUGUCUAGUGAUUGUUAUUUAGAGAGUUGGACCACUAUUGUAUGUUGCUAAUCAUUGACUGUAGUCCCAAAAAAGCCUUGUGAAAAUGUUAUGCCCUAUGUAACAGCAGAG